CGAGGGCAGCAUAAAAGUAGCAAUACUUGGUGGCGACCGGCGCACGGGUGAGUAACGCGUAUGCAACCUACCUAUCAGAGGGGAAUAACCCGGCGAAAGUCGGACUAAUACCGCAUAAAACAGGGGCACCGCAUGGUGAUAUUUGUUAAAGAAAUUCGCUGAUAGAUGGGCAUGCGUUCCAUUAGGUAGUUGGUGAGGUAACGGCUCACCAAGCCGACGAUGGAUAGGGGAACUGAGAGGUUGGUCCCCCACACUGGUACUGAGACACGGACCAGACUCCUACGGGAGGCAGCAGUGAGGAAUAUUGGUCAAUGGGCGGGAGCCUGAACCAGCCAAGUCGCGUGAAGGAAGAAGGAUCUAUGGUUCGUAAACUUCUUUUGCAGGGGAAUAAAGUGCAGGACGUGUCCUGUUUUGUAUGUACCCUGAGAAUAAGGAUCGGCUAACUCCGUGCCAGCCGCCGC
rnacentral:rRNA from 1 species